UCCUCGAUAGUCUAGUGGUGAGGAUAUCGGCUUGUCAUUUGAACGAUGCGCCGGGGACCGGGGUUCAAUUCCCCGUCGAGGAG
rnacentral:tRNA from 1 species